CAAGAAAACAUAAUACAUGCAUCUAAUAAAAUAGAUAAUACAAAAAACAAUGAUGAAUCUAUUAUUUUACAUGAUAAGUUAGAUAAAAAUAAUAAUAUAAAUUUUAAAAGCAGUUUAGAUGAUGACAAUUGGACGAAAAUACAAGAUGAAUAUAUAGGUACUUACAAUGAAAGUGAUAAGGAAAUAUGUUUGUCAAAUAGUAAUAACACUUCUAGUAGUAAUGUAAAAACUAAUGUAAAUGAUAACCAUGAUGAUGAGGUUAGCACAAAGCAUAUAAGUCAUUACGACAGUUAUGUUGAAAAUGAGUUCAAUGCUGUUUUUAGUGGUAAUGUUGUAAGAGAUGGUUUUCCCAACGACAGUGGCCUUUGUAUAAGCACGUUUAACCAUGACGUUUUUAAAAAUAACGAUAGUAUAAUUGACUACCAUACAGAUGAUUCUGAGAGCAAUUGUUCUGUUACCAAGUGUGUAGCUAUUAUUAAUAAUAGAAUACAUCGUAUUAAAAAUAAAAUAAAUAUUGUUAAAAAUAUUAUUAAUGAUCAAGAUAAUAUAAAAAGAACCAGUGUGUUUGAGGAUUUUGAAAGUGAUACUAGUAGUGUUGUAAAAACACUAAACAAUCUGACAACUGAAUAUGAUGAUUACGACGAAUAUGAUAUUAAAAAGCAUAGUAAAGACGUUGACUCGAUAAUAAAAACUUUAUUAAAUAAAAAAAAUACUGAAAAAGAACUGAGCACUUUAGAUAUUUUAGAUGAUUGUUUAGCUAUAGGCAAUAUAUACAAUACGAACGGAAUGCAAGAGCAGAAUAUUCAAAACACUGAUCUUAUUACUACAGCUGUAUUUAAUAAAAAUAGUUGCCAUUUAAAAAAUAAUGAUGAAAAUUAUAAGUUUUAUUAUGAACAACAAGAGGCAUAUAAUGGCAUAAACUCUCCGACUAUUAACACAUUAAAUAAUAAUUUAAUGGAUGGAAUAAAUGAAAAAUCAUUAACACAACAUGAAUCGGAGCAAAUGGCAAAAACAGUAGCUCAUUUGAACAAUCAAGAAGUACAUAUUUUAGUUAAAAAAAAUGAUAAAGGUAAGAUAUGUACAUGUUGUCGAGAGUAA
rnacentral:lncRNA from 1 species